GAAGUGGAGCUUGCUCCACGGAUUAGUGGCGAACGGGUGAGGAACACGUAAGAAUCUACCUUUCGGUUGGGGAUAACUUCUGGAAACGGGAGCUAAUACCCAAUAUGCUGUGGAGUGAAAGAAUUUCGCCGAAAGACGAUCUUGCGUCUGAUUAGCUUGUUGGGGUGGUAAUGGCACACCAAGGCGACGAUCAGUAGCUGGUCUGAGAGGAUGGACAGCCACAUUGGGACUGAGACACGGCCCAGACUCC
rnacentral:rRNA from 1 species